CCAUUCGUUUGUUCUUGUCAUAAUAUCAAAUAUAUUACAAAUCGUUCAACUAUUCUAUUACAUAAGCAAUCUAAGGGUUCGUCUUCGCCUUGCCCUUGUCCUUGCCUGAGCCUUCGGUCCGCUCGAUCUUAGCUAUGUUCAUAUGGUUCAAGCAAGAGUGAGCAUGACUAGCUCAGCAAGUACUACAAUUCUAAUAAACAACAUGCUUGAAACAUAGAACUCAUAUAUCUUCAGUAACUGAACAAUAGUUACGAAGUACUAUCGAUAAUUCAAAAUAGCACUUCUUUUCAUUCAAAACAUUUUCCAACAACAAUAUUCAGUAGAAUAUCAACUAAGGCUCAAAACUAUGAGCAGUUCAUAAUUUCUUUUGAAAAGGACAACCCGACAAUAAGUCCGUAAGUCCGGCAUAGCUUACGAGCACGUCUGAGUGAUCAACUCAUAGUACUCUAUGUUGAUCAACACUACAUUCAUUAAACGUGUAUACGUUUAAGUUGUGGCAACCUCACGUGCCUGUCGUUAAACGACAAAAACAUUUUAGCAUACUUGGUCUUCGAUUGAAAACCAUACCAAUAUAACUGGGUAAAAAUAAAUCAUGCUUGGCAGAAUCAUAAUAUAAGUCUAGCCGAAAGAAUUGGCUUUAGACUUCA
rnacentral:lncRNA from 1 species